GAUGAACGCUGGCGGCGUGCUUAACACAUGCAAGUCGAACGGAAAGGCCCAAGCUUGCUUGGGUUCUCGAGUGGCGAACGGGUGAGUAACACGUGGGUGAUCUGCCCUGCACUUCGGGAUAAGCCUGGGAAACUGGGUCUAAUACCGGAUAGGACCACUUCUUGGAUGUUGUGGUGGAAAGUUUUUUCGGUGUGGGGUGAGCUCGCGGCCUAUCAGCUUGUUGGUGGGGUAAUGGCCUACCAAGGCGUCGACGGGUAGCCGGCCAGAGAGAGUGUACGACCACACAGACACUGAGAGGAGGCACAGGCGCGGAAGAGAGGAAACAGUGGGGAAUCUUGAACAAUCGGUGCCGGGCGGAUGAAGAAGCGCCGCGGGGGGGAUAGCGCCCUUCUGGUUGAAGACAACCUUCGCUUGAAAAGCAGCGCUUUGUGACGGUACCUAGAGAAGAAGCACCGGCUAACUACGUG
rnacentral:rRNA from 1 species